GGACCUGUAGCUCAGUUGGUUAGAGCAACCGGCUCAUAACCGGUCGGUCCUGGGUUCGAGUCCCCGCAGGUCCACUA
rnacentral:tRNA from 1 species